rnacentral:rRNA from 2 species
ACCUGUGUCUGGAAGAGAUC